AAGAUUUUGUUCUUUAGGGACGUUUCAAUCUCCAGUGUCUCCAAGUCAAAUGCAGUUUAUUGGCCUUUGGCUGUUUUAAAACGUUUUCCUGAACAUUUUUCUUUCUUAGAUCACGAUUCUUGUCUCGACAAUUGAUGGAAAGACAAGUCACUUUUAACCAACGAUUUACGAUGAUGAAUAAAAUUACGCCAACUUGAUUAGUACAAUCUAGUACAACUUGAUUAACAGCGGGUAAAACAGUGCUUUAUGCUUUUAUUUCUUCCAAAUGCUUCACAAUGUAGUUAAACACCUCGAUCAUUUUCAGCGUAGUGAGCGUACACUUGAUCUUUGCAAAUUUUUUGUAAUCAAAAUAUCUUACAAUAUGUCUCAAAAGAACUGGUCAUCUUUGAAUUCAGCCGAUAGUUUGAAAUUUUUAUGAUUCAGCGGCAAUGAUUGAUCUCCACGCUAGGAGAUAUAAAUGUAAUUAAAGUAAGUUUCUUUAUAUUACCUUUUUUUGAAACACCCUGUAUCAAGAACUUAGAUCUCAGACCGUGGGGGUUCCCUUUGGAUAAAUGAACUUAAAUGUAUAUUUUAUUAAAUACGUGUAUAAUUUACGGAAUAUAAAAAAAUAAGAAUCAAAGGAAGAAAUCAGAAUUCAGUCCUUUAAUAACACCAUGACAACUCGUAGUGUAUAGCAAGUCUACCAGUGCUAUGAAAAUAAAUAUUUUGUUGUUCAA